rnacentral:sRNA from 1 species
CACCUAACCCUGCUGCUUGCAGUAGGUAUGGUGUGAAAUCGCGCAAUACAGUAACCCCGUUAUCAGGGCGUAUUGCGCGUUGCGUAGGGAAACCUGCGUAUGAGCCGCAAGGCUCA